CUACGUGCCAGCAGCCGCGGUAAUACGGAAGGUCCAGGCGUUAUCCGGAUUUAUUGGGUUUAAAGGGAGCGUAGGCUGGAGAUUAAGUGUGUUGUGAAAUGUAGACGCUCAACGUCUGAAUUGCAGCGCAUACUGGUUUCCUUGAGUACGCACAACGUUGGCGGAAUUCGUCGUGUAGCGGUGAAAUGCUUAGAUAUGACGAAGAACUCCGAUUGCGAAGGCAGCUGACGGGAGCGCAACUGACGCUGAAGCUCGAAGGUGCGGGUAUCGAACAGGAUUAGAUACCCUGGUAGUCCGCACAGUAAACGAUGGAUGCCCGCUGUUGGUACCUGGUAUCAGCGGCUAAGCGAAAGCAUUAAGCAUCCCACCUGGGGAGUACGCCGGCAACGGUGAAACUCAAAGGAAUUGACGGGGGCCCGCACGAGCGGAGGAACAUGUGGUUUAAUUCGAUGAUACGCGAGGAACCUUACCCGGGCU
rnacentral:rRNA from 1 species